GAUGAACGCUGGCGGCGUGCCUAAUACAUGCAAGUCGAGCGAACGGACGAGAAGCUUGCUUCUCUGAUGUUAGCGGCGGACGAGUGAGUAACACGUGGAUAACCUACCUAUAAGACUGGGAUAACUUCGGGAAACCGUAGCUAAUACCGGAUAAUAUUUUGAACCGCAUGGUUCAAAAGUGAAAGACGGUCUUGCUGUCACUUAUAGCUGGAUCCGCGCUGCAUUAGCUAGUUGGUAAGGUAACGGCUUACCAAGGCAACGAUGCAUAGCCGACCUGAGAGGGUGAUCGGCCACACUGGAACUGAGACACGGUCCAGACUCCUACGGGAGGCAGCAGUAGGGAAUCUUCCGCAAUGGGCGAAAGCCUGACGGAGCAACGCCGCGUGAGUGAUGAAGGUCUUCGGAUCGUAAAACUCUGUUAUUAGGGAAGAACAUAUGUGUAAGUAACUGUGCACAUCUUGACGGUACCUAAUCAGAAAGCCACGGCUAACUACGUG
rnacentral:rRNA from 1 species